UGCUUCUGGGGCCGGAUUCACGAGAAUCUUCUUCAGAAACAAGUCACGCGGUCACAGCAUCUUACGUUAUUGAUCAUCAGAUGCAUGAUGCUCUUGGGCAUGAGGUCGCGGAUGCAUUUGUUGACGAUGGCCAUGUAGGAGUCCACCAGGUUCCUGAUGGUCUCCACCUUCCUCUCCAGCUGAGGAUCCAUGGAGAAGUUCUCAGACGGGCCUGAACUCUCGCUCUCCACCUGAGAGAAAGAGACCGACGCCGGUCAGGAAGAUCAGCCGCGAGGAACAGGGUUCAUGCUUCAGAUUAAAUCUCGUGGAAGUGAUAAAGAAGGGUUGCUUGGGUUUGUCCUCUUAAGUAGAAAUUAUGGUGAGAAGAACUUUGUGUCUUGCCUAGAGUUGAUAAAUGAAUUAAUCUCUUAUGCAUAAACUUGUGAGGUUGUGGGUUCAUUUGGAGGACACGUGUGAAAAUGUCUGUUCAGCAUACCCUCACUGCAAUCAAAGAAUCAUGUAAAACCCCGUAAAGCUUGAGAUUACUGGUGUAAAAUACUUAAUAUAGAAAUAUGUAUGAAACUAAUAAAACUAAAUUGAACAACAAUAAAAUGUUUUCUCAUUAAUCAUUCUAUUAAUCAGGAACCUACUUUCACACACACACACACACACACACACACACACACACACACACACACAAAAAGCUAAUUUCCGCUAUUGUAGGCUUGCUUUGUAAAUGUAAUUUAUAGACCAGCGCAAAUGUGUGCUUAAUGCAAAUGUUAUUGAUCACAUUUACAAAAUCAGGUGAUUGUACAUAAAUACAUUUGCACAGAUGGACGAACAGAGACAAAAUAAUAGGGGUGCACGAUAAAUAUCGGCCGAUAAUUAAAGCGCAUCUCGUCAGUAAAGCCGGUUCAUUGUUCAUUAUCAGCGUGGAUUUGUUUGUGCAGUUUGUCAGUUAACAACAGAUCUGUGUGAAAUCACGCACCUGAUGGAACUCACCGCUGAUUAGAGACGCUUUACUGACGAGAUGCGCAUUAAUUAUCGGCCGAUAUUUAUCGUGCACCCCUACAAAACAACGAGGUUAAUCGCUGUCUGUUACCGUCAGUUUAGAGCAGUGAUCGUAAAUGAUAGCGAAGACUAAAAAAAAAAAAAAAAAACCCUUUUGCUUUUAAUUCUCAUCAAAAAUACAGAACAACAUUAAGCAAAUAGUGUAAAAUCCUAUCUUAAUUCAAUGUUUAAA